UACGGGGGGGGCAAGCGUUGUUCGGAAUUACUGGGCGUAAAGGGUCUGUAGGUGGCUUGCUAAGUCAGACGUGAAAUCCCUCAGCUUAACUGGGGAACUGCGUCUGAUACUGGCAAGCUUGAGUGCAGGAGAGGAACGCGGAAUUCCAGGUGUAGCGGUGAAAUGCGUAGAUAUCUGGAGGAAUACCGGUGGCGAAGGCGGCAUCCUGGACCAUUACUGACGCUGAGGCGCGAAAGCUAGGGGAGCAAACGGG
rnacentral:rRNA from 1 species